rnacentral:rRNA from 1 species
UACGUAGGGGGCGAGCGUUGUCCGGAAUGAUUGGGCGUAAAGGGCGCGUAGGCGGCCUGCUAAGUCUGGAGUGAAAGUCCUGCUUUCAAGGUGGGAAGUGCUUUGGAUACUGGUGGGCUGGAGUGCAGGAGAGGAAAGCGGAAUUACCGGUGUAGCGGUGAAAUGCGUAGAGAUCGGUAGGAACACCAGUGGCGAAGGCGGCUUUCUGGACUGAAACUGACGCUGAGGCGCGAAAGCGUGGGGAGCAGACAGGAUUAGAUACCCUGGUAGUCCACGCGGUAAACGAUGGAUGCUAGGUGUAGGAGGUAUCGACCCCUUCUGUGCCGCAGUAAACACAAUAAGCAUUCCGCCUGGGGAGUACGGCCGCAAGGUUGAA